UCGGGAAUUUUGGGCAAUGGGCGAAAGCCUGACCCAGCAACGCCGCGUGAAGGAUGAAGUAUUUCGGUAUGUAAACUUCGUAAGAAUAGGAAGAAUAAAUGACGGUACUAUUUGUAAGGUCCGGCUAACUACGUGCCAGCAGCCGCGGUAAUACGUAGGGACCAAGCGUUGUUCGGAUUUACUGGGCGUAAAGGGCGCGUAGGCGGUGUGUCAAGUCAGUUGUGAAAUCUCCGAGCUUAACUCGGAACGGUCAACUGAUACUGUCACACUAGAGUACAGAAGGGGCAAUCGGAAUUCUUGGUGUAGCGGUGAAAUGCGUAGAUAUCAAGAGGAACACCUGAGGCGAAGGCGGGUUGCUGGGCUGAUACUGACGCUGAGGCGCGAAAGCCAGGGGAGCAAACGGGAUUAGAUACCCAAGUAGUCCCUGAGCGGGCUGGCAAGGCGCAU
rnacentral:rRNA from 1 species